GGGGGUAAUUUUGAAACAUUAGAGAAAAAACCACAAAAAACCCUAAACCACAAAAAACCCUAAAAACCUAACUCUUUCUGCCUACUCACCCAAGCAGCCGCCGUUCCCCGGGGUCCUUGGCUUUUGCUCUCCCAGAACCAGAGAGCCAAGGACCCCCCGCCAUUUGAAAUCAGCCCUUCUCCCCCUUUGGCCGCUCAUCCUUUGGAAACCAGAGCUCCCCUUCUCCUCUCACGGCCCCCAAAAACAUUUUGUCCUUCUCACAGCCGACCCCAACAGCCCCAUCGCCGGCCUCCCCCGACUAUCCCCUACAGACCCGAACCAGAACCUCCACAUCCACCGACAGUACCACCCCCCGGUUCUCUCUUCGCCCUCACAAAGCAACCUCCCUUUUCCCUCUCCAUCGCCUUCCCCUUUCAGUUCCUUUUCUCAGCCGACCCAUCGGUUUUCCCAAACCAGAGAGCCUUCACGCUCCCCUUCGACAUCAGCGCCGUCCACAAACCGGCCACCAGCAACAGCCCUUCUCCAGCAUUUCCUUCCCACAGCAGCUGACCACCACACCGACACCCACCGAUCUGUCCAUUCCUCCGCCUCAACACCGCCAGCAACCUCUCACAUUCUCGCAGCAGCUCCAGCGGCCACAGGCUGCAGCAGCAAAGCCAAUUAAAGCCGACGAUCAGACCACUUCGUUCUCCUCCAUCUCCACCGAACCGGACACCAGCAGCUGCACAGCCGUCGACCGAAGCACAUCCACACUGCCGGCCGUUUGAAACAGGGAACAAAGGGGAAACGAAAAGAAACUGAGCUGCGAAGAGAGAUGCAGAUCUGCGGAACAAAAGAGAAAAACACAACUAAAAUCAACUGCUGUUGUGCGUUGUUUCCCUUGUUGCAGGUGUCGGUGACCUUCACCGCCGGAGGAGGAAGACAGGGAAGAAGAAGACGUUCCCGAUCCACUGGUUUUCGGUCUUCAUCGGCGGCGGCGCGUGAACCCACGCGCCUCUAUGGCGGAGGCGCGUGGAGCAACGCGCCACUACUGUUCAGACGACACCAAGGCUGUGCAGCACUGUUCCCGAGGAUUUCUCUGUGUUUUUUGUUGUAACUUUCAGAUGAUGUGUAUAUUUAGAUAUUAUUGUAUUUGAUUUAUUUUGAAUUUUUGUUAUUUGUUUUACAUGUAAAAAUUGUGUAUGUAAAAAACAAAAAAGAAAAGGAAAGGAAAAGAGAAAGAAAAUAUAGUGAAAGUGUAUAGGUGUGUUUGUAUUUGUUUUAUGGAUGUUUUAUUUUUAUUUAAGAUAAAAUUGUAAAGAUUAAAGAAGAAUUUAAUAUUUUGAUUGGAUCA